rnacentral:rRNA from 1 species
CCAGACUCCUACGGGAGGCAGCAGUGGGGAAUAUUGGACAAUGGGGGGAGCCCUGAUCCAGCGACGCCGCGUGAGUGAAGAAGUAUUUCGGUAUGUAAAGCUCUAUCAGCAGGGAAGAAAGAAAUGACGGUACCUGACUAAGAAGCCCCGGCUAACUACGUGCCAGCAGCCGCGGUAAUACGUAGGUGGCAAGCGUUGUCCGGAUUUACUGGGUGUAAAGGGCGUGUAGCCGGGCUGACAAGUCAGAUGUGAAAUCCGGGGGCUCAACCCCCGAACUGCUUUGGAAACUGUAUGGCUGGAGUGCAGGAGAGGUAAGUGGAAUUCCUAGUGUAGCGGUGAAAUGCGUAGAUAUUAGGAGGAACACCAGUGGCGAAGGCGGCUUACUGGACUGUAACUGACGUUGAGGCUCGAAAGCGUGGGGAGCAAACAGGAUUAGAUACCCGAGUACGG